CCCAGCAGUAGGAAACUACCUAGAUCGCCUUGUACCUAGACAAGUGUUGCACUCCUGGGAGAAAAGCAGCCAGUAGCUGGCAGGCACUCUUGGCCUGGUUAAUGCUGAUUUCGUUUUAAUUAUACCAGUGUGCAAGCACAGUUGCUUAUUCUUUUAAAAGAAAAAUAU
rnacentral:snoRNA from 1 species